rnacentral:rRNA from 1 species
AUGGCUUCCAGGGCAAUCAUCAGGAGAAGGAAGUAUAUUCUUGAGCAUACUAAUGGGCCUCGCCUAUUACAUUCAUCUAAGUUUACUUCCGGCCAAGGAACAUUUGGAUGUGAUGUUGAGCACAACACUGUAUCCCAUGUGCCGCAGCAGAAUUCGGGGGAUUCUAGCCAUGAGAAGCAGCAAUUUACUUUAAGGAAUAGAUACCUUUUGAGCCUUAGUAACUGGUUCCUGCGUCGCCCCGCCCUUGGUGUUCCUCUUGCCUCUUAUGAAUCCAAAGCACAUAUUUCUGUAUUCCCCUUGGGAGCCAGGUAUUUCCGGCAGUCAGUCCGCGCAGCGUCAGAAAAAGCUGGGCAGCCAAAAUCUGGUAUUACGAAUGGAAAGAGUGAGGACCAGAACCAACCAGAAAAGGAGGCGUCUCCAGAAGAGUGUGACCAGGCGGUGGAAGGCUUAAGCACUGCAAAGGCUAAAGCCAAAGCAAUGGUGCAGGAAGUCCAAAAGACUGACCAAUCGAUCAUACAGAAAUUCUGGGCAACACUUCUGGGUAUUGGUCCUGCUCUGCGUGUUAUUGCUUCAAUGAGCAGAGCCGACUGGGCUGCGAAGUUGAAGCAUUGGAAGGAAGAAUUUGUUUCUACGCUGCAGCAUUAUUGGCUGGGCACUAAGCUACUGUGGGCAGAUGUUAGAAUUUCAUCAAGAUUGUUGGUGAAGCUUGCUGAUGGAAAGAGCCUUACAAGGAGAGAGAGGCAACAGCUUACACGCACAACAGCAGACAUGUUCAGGCUUGUACCGUUCGCUGUGUUCAUCAUCAUUCCAUUCAUGGAGCUGUUACUGCCAGUAUUCCUGAAGUUGUUCCCAAACAUGUUGCCAUCCACUUUCCAGGACAAGAUGAAAGAAGAGGAGGCAUUAAAGAGGAAACUGAAAGCAAGGAUGGAAUAUGCAAAAUUCUUGCAAGAUACAGCGAAGGAAAUGGCAAAAGAAGUGCAAACAUCACGUAGUGGGGAUAUAAAACAGACAGCUGAAGACCUGGAUAAAUUUUUGGACAAGGUCAGGAAAGGUGGACAUGUCCCCAAUGAAGAAAUUUUGAGCUUUGCAAAGUUGUUUAACGAUGAGCUGACUUUGGAUAACAUUAACAGAUCACGGUUAGUAAACAUGUGUAAAUAUAUGGGAAUUCAGCCUUUCGGUACAGACAACUACUUGAGAUUCAUGCUUCGGAAGAAGUUACGAGACAUUAUGAAUGAUGAUAAGAUGAUUGAGGCUGAGGGUGUGGAGUCUCUUUCUGAUGAGGAGCUCCGACACGCUUGUCGCGAACGUGGCCACCUUGAUUUAUUGUCAACAGAGGAGAUGCGCCAUCAGCUCAAAGACUGGUUGGAUUUAUCACUCAAUCAGUCUGUGCCAUCAUCUCUUCUGAUUCUAUCAAGAGCUUUUACUGUAUCUGGGAAAAUGAAACCUGAGGAGGCUGUUGUAGCAACGUUAUCUUCUCUGCCAGAUGAAGUUGUGGGUACAGUUGGAACAGUAUUGCCUUCUGAAGAUUCUGUUUCUGAAAGGAAGAGAAAAUUGGAAUUCAUAGAGAUGCAGGAGGAACUUAUCAAGGAGGAAGAGAAAGAAGAAAAGGCAAAGCUAGACGAACAAGAGGCUAGUAAAGAAGAUUUGGCUUUGAAGGAAAUGACUGAGCCUACUGCUAGGGAAGAAGAGGAACUAAAGAAAUCAAAAGAACAUGAGAAGAAUGGCCACCUUUGUGAAAUCAGUAAAGCAUUGGCUGUGCUCGCAUCUGCUUCUUCUGUUACCAAAGAGCGAGAAGAGUUUCUGAGCCUCGUAAAUAAAGAGAUAGAACUAUAUAACACCAUGCUGGAAAAGGAGGGCACAGUGGAUGAAGAAGAGGCUAGGAGAGCAUAUAGGGUGGCCAGGGAGGAAUCAGAUCAUGCUGCAGAGUUGGUUGCAGGAGGAAAAGUUUCUUCAGCAUUAAUAGAGAAGGUUGAUGCCAUGCUUCAGAAAUUAGAGAAAGAGAUUGAUGAUGUUGAUGCACGAAUAGGCAACCGCUGGCAGGUGCUUGAUAGGGACCGUGACGGCAAGGUGACCCCGGAAGAGGUAGAAGCAGCCGCAGGUUAUCUCAAGGACACCAUGGGGAAGGAAGGCGUCCAAGAGCUUAUCAGCAAUCUUUCCAAAGACAGAGAAGGGAACAUCCUCGUGGAGGACAUCAAGAAGAUGGCGUCGCAAACGGAGGAAAACAGCAAGCCAGAAGAAACGGCGCGCUGA